UACGGGGGGGGCAAGCGUUGUUCGGAAUUACUGGGCGUAAAGGGCUCGUAGGUGGCCAACUAAGUCAGACGUGAAAUCCCUCGGCUUAACCGGGGAACUGCGUCUGAUACUGGAUGGCUAGAGAUUGGGAGAGGGAUGCGGAAUUCCAGGUGUAGCGGUGAAAUGCGUAGAUAUCUGGAGGAACACCGGUGGCGAAGGCGGCAUCCUGGACCAACACUGACGCUGAAGAGCGAAAGCCAGGGGAGCAAACGGG
rnacentral:rRNA from 1 species